GACGAACGCUGGCGGCGUGCUUAACACAUGCAAGUCGAACGGAAAGGCCCUGCUUUUGUGGGGUGCUCGAGUGGCGAACGGGUGAGUAACACGUGAGUAACCUGCCCUUGACUUUGGGAUAACUUCAGGAAACUGGGGCUAAUACCGGAUAGGAGCUCCUGCUGCAUGGUGGGGGUUGGAAAGUUUCGGCGGUUGGGGAUGGACUCGCGGCUUAUCAGCUUGUUGGUGGGGUAGUGGCUUACCAAGGCUUUGACGGGUAGCCGGCCUGAGAGGGUGACCGGCCACAUUGGGACUGAGAUACGGCCCAGAGUCCUACGGGAGGCAGCAGUGGGGAAUAUUGCACAAUGGGCGGAAGCCGGAUGCAGCAACGCCGCGUGCGGGAUGACGGCCUUCGGGUUGUAAACCGCUUUCGCCUGGGACGAAGCGUGAGUGACGGUAAUGGGUAAAGAAGCACCGGCUAACUACGUG
rnacentral:rRNA from 1 species